UUUUUUUUUUUGGUUGCCCCCAAUCCAAGGCCAGGGAUUGAACCCACACUGCAGUUGCAGCCCAUGCCAGAGCUGCAGCAAUGGGGGAUCCUUAACCCACUGUGCCACAUAGGAAAUCCCUAUUUUUUCAGACAUUUUUCCCACCCACCUAUGGACAACAUCUAUCAUCUGCGAGUGUUACAGAUAGAUGUACCAAGAUAUUUUAACCAAAAUAAAAUCAUGCUGGAGUUCCCGGCGUGGCUCAGCAGAAACGAAUCUGACUAAUAUCCAUGAGGAUGCAGAUCUGACCCCUGGCCUCACGCGAUGGGUUAAGGAUUCGGUGUUGCUGUGGCUGUGGUGUAGGCUGGCAGCUACAGCUCCAAAUGGACCCCUAGCCUGGGAACUUUCAUAUGCUCAGGGUGCAGCCCUAAAAAGACAAAAAAAAAAAAAAAAAAGAUAUUCUAGAAUUAGCUAGCGGUGAUAGUUGCACAACACUACAAAUGUACUUAAUGCCACUGAGUUGUAGACUUUACAAUGGUUAAAUUGGCCGACGGUAAAAUUUUGUAUAAUGCAGAUUUUACCACAAUUAUAUAUAUAUAUAUAUAUAUCCCCAAAGGACAGAGCAAAAGGUAAAUGAGGGAAGACAGGUGGAUGGCGAGAAGAAGGGGUGGGGACUGGGGCAAACUGAAAAGGUCUCUGGUGAUCUCUAUUCAGUUCAGUCGAUGGUCACCACGGAGGAACGUGGGCCCCGUGACACCAGAUUUUAGAAUUGUUCAAGAUAAGACAGUAAUGAGGAUUUCACGUGAAAACCACCAAUGUGGGUAUUGCCAAGUAAGCGCAGUUUUAAGAAACAGAGAGCGGGGUUCCCGCUGCGGUGCACCGGGAUGGGCGGCGGCUCUGGAGCCCCAGGACGCAGGUUCCAUCCGUGCCCGGCAGAGUGGGUUCAGGGAACUCCAUACGCCUCCGGGCGGGGGAGGGGGGGGGUAAAAAGAAAACAAACCAAAAAAAAACCAAAAAAACACCCAGAAGGUGGGCCUGCAGGCCCCCAACUUACGACGCAGGCAUCAGAUUACUUCCUGGGUUCAACCAGCCCCGUCUAGGACUGUGGUGUAGAGGGACAGGGACCAGGCACAGGGAGGUGUCCUGGGCGGGUGACUCACUCUGCCAAGGGUAUAAGUCAACUCAUGGACUGCAGAAAACAGCGGGGCAGCCGCUGGCGCACAGAGCCCCUACGUGUGGCUGCAUUAGGCGUCAGCGAACACUGGCUCCUCCCACUUCUGCAGCAGGGGCCCUCAUUUCCGUCCCCAUUGAUGGCCCACACGACUAGCUUUGUCCCAGGGAGGAAUGUUCGCAGACCCCUAGGCUUGGCUCUCUCUCGCUCUAGGGAUGGGCCCUUGAGAAAAGUAUGUCCCUGUCACCCUGGACCACAGAAUGAACACAUAACAGAAUAAACGUGACUCCAACCCGCAGCCCCGACCCGUGCCCAGUGAACACGGGGACAGUCACAGAGUCACCCACGGAGGCUCCCUCAAGAUCAAACACACUGCAGUUGACCUCAGUCCAGUGACCAUGAGGCUAGAUGUUUGCUGAAGCCACUGAAGUUUGUGGGUAAAUUAUUAAACGGAAUUAUUGAGCCAGUAUCUGACUGAUAACACCAAGUGAUCUCUACAUUCUGCCCAAGCCCCAAUUCUGCGCUUCUCAAACUUUGUGGCAUCAGAUACCCUAAUCUUUAGAGUAGAUAGCUGUCUUCACCUGCUUAAAAACUACUGCGGACCUCAGAGCUUUGACUUAUAUUUGACUUAUAUUAAGUCAAUAUAUUAUAAUAUUUGACUCAUAUUAACUAUUUACUAUAUUAGGGAAUACAAUUGAGAAAUUUUUUAAAUGCAAGAGUAGUACUAAACAACAUUAGCCAUCAGGGAAACACAAAUCAAAACUACAGUGAGAGGAGUUCCUGUUGUGGCACAGUGGAAAUGUAUCUGACUAGGAACCAUGAGGUUUUGGUUCAAGCCCUGGCCUCGCUCAGUGGGUUAAGGAUUUGGUGUUGCCAUGAGCUGUGGUGUAGAUCACAGACGCAGUUCAGAACCCGAGUUGCUGUGGCUCUGGUGUAGGCCAGCGGCAAUAGCUCCUAUUAGAUCCCUAGCCUGGGAACCUCCAUAUGCCACAGGUACGGCCCUAAGAGGACACACACAAAAAAAAAAAAAAAAAAAACAAAAAACUACAGUGAGAUACAGAGUUCCCACUGCCAUGCAGUGAGUUAAGAAUCCAACUGCAGUGGCUGGGGUCUCUGUGAAGGUGAGGGUUCGAUCCCUGGCCCAGCACAGUGAUUUAAAGGAUCAGGCAUUGCCAUUUGCCACACUUGUGGCAUAGGUCAGCGCAGCUGCAGCUCAGAUUCAAUCCCUAGCCCCAGAAUUUCCAUAUGUUGUGGGUACAGCCAUAAAAAUAAAAAGUAAAAAACAAACUACAGUGAGACAGGAGUUCCCUGGCAGUUCAGCAGGUUAAGGAACUGGUGUUGUCACUGGUGUGGCUCUGGUUACUGCUGUGGCAUGGGUUCAGUCCCUGGCCCAGGAACUUUUGCAUGCUAUAGAUCCGGUGUUGCUGUGCACUGUGGCGUAGGUCGAAGACACAGAUGGGAUACUGUGUUGCUGUGGCAGUGGUGCAGGCCAGUGGCUACAGCUCCAAUUUGACCCGGAGCCUUGGAUUCUCCAUAUGCCACAUGUGUGGCCCUAAAAAAAAACUCCAGUCAGGCUGGUAGUUAAGUUAAUAUGGUACCAAUGUUAAUUUCUUGGCUUUGAUUAUUGUACUAUAGAAUUAAUAUCAGGGGAGCAGGGUAAGAGACACACAGGAAUUCUCUAUACUAUCUGCAAAAUUUCUCCCUAAGUCUAUACCUAGCAUUGCAGCUUCCAGCUCACUCUCUCCAGGCCCACUUGCUCUGAGGAGAAGCCAGACGCUUGUCAUGGGGACACUAUGGAGGGGGCCACAUGGUGAGAAACUGAGCCCUCUUGCCCACAGCCAGCAUGGUCUUCCAGAUGAAUGAAUGAGCCACCUUGGAAGAAGAUCCCCCGGUCCCAGCCAAGCCUUCGGAUGCAUGAGGCCCCGUCAGUGAGGAUGAGCCAAGGCUUGGAGCCAAAACCAUCCAGAUGAGCCACCCUCCAAUACCUGACUCACAGAAAGCCGCGUGUUAUCCCUUAGAGCAGCUUUUUUUAGAGAAAAUAUUGCUGUUUCGAACAGUGGCCACCAGAUGGCGCCUGGAUUCCAAGGUUGGAAACAAAACGGCUGCCACUAUUACAGAAGAGGUCAAGGCCUCAGUUUAUUUAUAAAGCCUAAUAAAAAUGUCACCGGGAGUUUUUUCCCUACAGCUAGACAAUUUGAUUAUAAGGUUCAUUUGGAAGUGCCAUAGGCAAAUAUGUAAGGGGAAAGCUGAAAAAGAAGGGAGAAGAGGAGAAGGAAAAAAAUAAGGGAAUAGCUCUACCAGAUAUUAAUAACAAUUUUUUAAAAAUGUGUUGGAGCUUCCAUUGUGGCGCAGAGGAUUAAGGAUCUGGCUUUGAAGCAGCUGUGGCGUAGGUCCCAGCCACGGCUCCACUUUCAACCCCUGGCCUGGAAACUUCUACAUGUAGUGGGUGUGGCCAAAAAAGAAUGAAUGAAUGAAUGCAUACAUACAUACAUACACAAGUAAAUAAAUAAAUGUGCAUCAGUAAAUAUACAGAUCAAGAGAAGGAUUAGAAAAUCUGAAACAGAAACAAUUGCCUAUGGAAAUUUAUUUCAUCAUCAUAUAAUAGUUUUUAAUUUAGGAAGGGACUUUGGGGAAGUUUUUAAUCUAGUAGUGUUGGAGCAACUAGAUAAACAAAAAGAAAAGCUUGAGUCCAUUCCUCACCCUGGAUACCAGAUUAAAUUCAAAAUGUAUCAAAGACUUAAGUGGAAAAAUGUAAUCUCAUAAACACUGGUGAGUCUCCUAAUGACUGAGGAGGGGAGUAAAUUUGCCAAACUGUUAAUCAAAAUUCAGAAGCAAUAAAAGGGGCGCUUGUGUCUCAGCAGUAAUAAACCCAACUAGUAUCCAUGACAUCUCGGAUUCAGUUCCUGGCCUUGCCCAGUUGGUUAAGGAUCUGGUGUUGCCAUGAGCUGUUCUGUAGAUCACAGAUGCGGCUUGGAUUGGGGAUUGCUGUGGCUGUGGCAUAGGCUGGCAGCCGGAGCUCCAAUUCGACCCCUAACCCGGGAACUUCCAUGUGUUCAGUCAUUAAAAAAAAAAAAAGAAAGAAAAGCAGCAAUAAAAGGGAACUGUGUUAAAGGACCAAGCAAAAACGAAGACCUUUUGCAGGUUCAAAACAUAAAGCCAGCAUGCGCAAACUGAAAACUACAGAUGACAAAGCGAAAAUUACAACUUAUAUCACAAAGGGUUAAUAUACCUGAACUAUAGGGAGCAUUUUAAAAAUCGAGGCCAAAAAGACCAAGAAACCUAUUGAAAGUAGGCAAAGAGGAAGUUCACAUCAAAAGAAGUGCAAAUGUCCCCUCCAUACACGAAAAUAUGCUCGACGCCGCUUACAAUUUUUAAAAACCACAAACUCAAACCACCCUGAGAUCCUUUUUCUCACCUAACAGACUAGCAAAACUCCAAGUGUUUGACACACCCUGUUGGCAGUGCUGGGAGGAAGCAGGGGUUCUCACGCCUUGCUGGUGGGAAGCAAAAAAACGUCAAACCUCCAUGGAAGAGGAUUUGCCAACAUCUAGCAAAUUUACCCUCUGACCCAGCAAUCCCACAUGCAGGGAUUAAAAUUUUUUAAAUAAUAUUAAUUAAUUAAUUAACAGACCUGGUUAAUACACCUCCUUGGCCUCUCUGCUACCACGACAUCUGACCCACUUUGAACCCCCUUGGCCCUUACUUUCCGUAACUUCCCACCUCUCUGGCUCUCCUCCCACUACCCCGACUCCCCUUCUCAGUCUGUGUCCUGGUCCCUAAUCCUCUGACACCUGGCUAAGGGAUCUCCUUGUGCUGUUCUGUCUCCUUGGAUGGGUUUAUCCAGGCCGAUGGCGUCAGCCGCCACCUCGAGUCACACUCAGACAUCUAUCCUGAGCUCAAGACCCUAGGGCCGCCUGCCAAGGGGAGGUCUGCACCCGAGUAUCUCUCCUGGAACCUGGUCAAAUCCAAAAGCGAGUCGAUCAUCUCCACCACCAUCCCCCACCCCCUCUUCCUAUAGCACCUGUGUUUUGUGAAUAGGUGCCCUGCCACCCAGGCCAAGAAGGUGGAGCUGCCCUCGACUCCUCCCUCCUCCCCAAUGGCAAGGUGACCUUUGAAACAGCUCCUGUGUGUCCGCUCUUCUCCAGCCCACUCCUGCCCCCUAGUUCAGACGGUCCUCAUCUUGAACCGGUAUCAUUGCGGGGGUGGGGGGGUGGGGGGGCAUUGCGGCGGCGGGGCUCUGGGUCCGUCAGGGUCUGUGGGAGAGAAACCACACCAGGUCCUUUCCCAGAGACACUACGUUAAAUAUGGACUAUAAUACAAGGAAUUGCCAACUUGAUAUAAAGCUGUUAUCUAGAAAACUGAAAGGGCAAAAAGAGAAUUCUAAGGCAGUUCUUAAACUUUAGCCAAAACUGCUUGGAGCAUUUGAUUCCUUCGGCCCCGCGCUGUCCCCAUUUCGGCCGGAGGCCGGCACCGGGGCU
rnacentral:lncRNA from 9 species